rnacentral:rRNA from 1 species
CCUACGGGAGGCUGCAGUGGGGAAUUUUGGGCAAUGGGCGCAAGCCUGACCCAGCAAUGCCGCGUGCGGGAUGAAGGUCUUCGGAUUGUAAACCGCUGUCGCAGGGGACGAAACAAAUGACGGUACCCUGUAAGGAAGCCACGGCUAACUACGUGCCAGCAGCCGCGGUAAUACGUAGGUGGCGAGCGUUGUUCGGAUUCAUUGGGCGUAAAGGGUCCGCAGGUGGUCUGAUAAGUCUGACGUGAAAUACCGGAGCUCAACUCCGGAACUGCGUUGGAGACUGUCGGACUAGAGUAUCGGAGAGGAGAUUGGAAUUCCAGGUGUAGCGGUGGAAUGCGUAGAUAUCUGGAAGAACAUCGAAAGCGAAGGCAGAUCUCUGGACGAUAACUGACACUCAGGGACGAAAGCAUGGGGAGCAAACAGGAUUAGAUACCCGUGUAGUC